GUCUAUGGCCAUGCCACCCUGAACAAGCCCGAUGUCCAAUCUCAGAAGCUAAGCAGGGUUGAGCCUGGUUAGUACUUGGAUGGGAGACCACCUAGGAAGACCAGGUGCUGUAGGCA
rnacentral:rRNA from 1 species